GAAUCUGGAAAAAUGAAAAUUAGAGGAUUUAAAAAGAAAAAUGAAAACUCGAGAAUAGCUCGACCAAGUGAAACGGUGCUUGGCCAUCAAGGCAAAAAUUGUGUCGUCAAAGCUCUAAAUUUGAUUAAAAUAGAACUUAGCACACAUUACACGCUUUUCGUACAUACUUUUGGGUUUAUCUACCUUCUGCUGUUUUCUCUGUUUGGUUCUUUGACAGUAUGAAAUGUUCUUGUGUUUUUGUAAAUGGGUUUAUGCUGUAAACAGCCAUUUCUGAUAAACCCAGGAAUGCAAACCUUUUCUCGCUUUCGUUUCUUUUCCUCCAAACAGCCCAUCAGUUUACUUCACAGGUUUGGUCCAUCCAGGAGGAUUCAAUCUCAUAGCUAUAACAAAUCAACAGGACCUACAUAUGGAAAGCGUGCUCCUCUUGUGACUGUAGCAACACAGGCUCCUCGUCUCCGUUUGGGUGCUUGGAGUUGGACCAUUCCAAUUGCUAUGUUUGCUGGAUUUGCAUCUCUUGUGUAUUAUAAUGAUCAGAGGAGAGGGUUUCAAAACGUUGGAGGAAACAAAUGCGGCGUUGAUGACAAGGGUAUUGGUGGACCAUUCACUUUGAUUGAUUCAGACAAUCGGGUAGUUACUGAGCAAGAGUUUCUAGGGAAUUGGUAUCUGUUCUAUUUUGGCUAUACAUUCUCCCCAGAUGUUGGUCCUGAGCAAGUCCAAGUCAUGGCCAAGGCCAUAGAUAUUUUAGAGAAAAAGAAGAACCACAAGGUCUUUCCAGUAUUUGUCACCAUUGAUCCCCAGCGUGAUACUCCUUCACAUCUUCGUGCAUAUCUUAAAGAAUUUGAUUCAAGGAUUGUUGGAUUAACAGGGCCUGUUGGUGCUGUAAGGCAGAUGGCACAAGAGUAUCGUGUUUUUUUCAGAAAGGUUGAAGAGGAAGGAGAUGAUUACCUUGUAGAGUGUUCCAACUAUAUUUACUUGCUCAACCCAAACAUGGAGGUUGCAGGACGCUUUGGCAUUGAGUAUACAGCUGAGGAACUGUCAGAAGAAAUUCUCAAGGAAUUAGAAAAAUUCUCAUCAUGAUCACUCAGCAAACUUUAUAGUCACUGUUUUAGGCUGACCAUUAUACGAGAAAUUUGGACCAUGCACUGUAUCCCACUAGGUGAAAUCACCCUGUGACCCUGUGAUGGAUGGAUUUCUAAGGAAUGGGGUUAUUGCUUGUGCUUUUCAGACUUCUGAAAGCAUUACGGAGCAACCAAAAAGUCAAGUCUGUUUUGCGAGUUCGGAUGUUUUAAGUGUACUCGGGAAUUGUUUGUUUGUUAUCUACAGCCAGGUUAUGCUAAAUUUGCAUAUGCUGUACAGCACAGAAAAAUUUCAAAUGAGUUAGAUCAGAGAAAACAGGAAAUAAGAUGAUUUAUAUUGCUUAC